rnacentral:rRNA from 1 species
UGGGGAAUAUUGCACAAUGGGCGCAAGCCUGAUGCAGCGACGCCGCGUGGGGGAUGACGGCCUUCGGGUUGUAAACCUCUUUCGCGCAUGACGAAGCCUGUGGGUGACGGUAGUGCGAGAAGAAGCACCGGCCAACUACGUGCCAGCAGCCGCGGUAAUACGUAGGGUGCGAGCGUUGUCCGGAAUUACUGGGCGUAAAGAGCUCGUAGGCGGUUUGUCGCGUCGUCUGUGAAAUUCUGCAACUCAAUUGUAGGCGUGCAGGCGAUACGGGCAGACUUGAGUACUACAGGGGAGACUGGAAUUCCUGGUGUAGCGGUGAAAUGCGCAGAUAUCAGGAGGAACACCGGUGGCGAAGGCGGGUCUCUGGGUAGUAACUGACGCUGAGGAGCGAAAGCGUGGGUAGCGAACA